rnacentral:tRNA from 1 species
CUCUAGAUAACUUUUUUAGUUUAGGCCUUUUAAGCCUAAAACAGUAGCGGGGGCUACUUCUAGUGA